rnacentral:rRNA from 1 species
UACAGAGGGGGCAAGCGUUGUUCGGAAUUACUGGGCGUAAAGGGCGCGUAGGCGGCCUGUUAAGUCGAACGUGAAAUCCCCGGGCUCAACCCGGGAACUGCGUCCGAUACUGGCAGGCUUGAAUCCGGGAGAGGGAUGUGGAAUUCCAGGUGUAGCGGUGAAAUGCGUAGAUAUCUGGAGGAACAUCAGUGGCGAAGGCGACACCCUGGACUCAUACUGACACUGAGAGACGAAAGCUAGGGGAGCGAAUGGG